GCCUGGGUAGCUCAGUUGGUUAAGCAUCUGACUCUAGGUUUCAGCUCAGGUCAUGAUAUCAUGGUUGUGGGAUCAAACCCCACGUCAGGCU
rnacentral:tRNA from 1 species